rnacentral:lncRNA from 1 species
GUGACGUUUCUAACUAAAAAUGUUGAUGAAUAUGUUGUAUACUGCAAACACAGACACGUUUUUGUUUCUUUACACUGUGCACAUUUAGGUCACAAUAACAAUUAAUUCCAGAAAAUCAACUCUUUAUGAUCUAGUCUAUGGCUACCCUUGCACUUAGCAUUAGGAGAGCAUUUAUAAUGGGAAGCGUCAAAGUCCCCUCCCAUCCUCCUGCGCUUCAACCAUUUAUGAUAAGGCAGUAUUUUGUUUUAUAUAUAUGUUUAAAUCCCACCCCUAGUGCACUCCCCAUUCUUUCCAUCCCUCCCCACCCUGGAUCAGAGAAACAUCUGAUUGGCCCUCGGAGUGAUGCAGUGUGAUUAUAAACCGUGUGUGGGAACGAGCAAGGAGAGCUUCACCCGGUAUUCAAAUUUUUUUUAAAUAUUUUUUUAAUGAAAAAAGGGGGGUGGACAAGGAUACUGGUGCUCAAUAUAAUUAAGCUAAAAACACAAAUCGUAAAAAAGAAUAUAGCAACAUUUUUUAAAAUGUUGAUCGUGCUAGACCUUGCAGUAGCCUGUUGCGUGUGAUUAAAGUUCAAUUAACAGAGCAGGAGAAAAAAAAUUCUAGUAAACAUAGUGUGCUAUCACAUCUGAUUGAAAAUGAAACAAUUUGUUUCAUGCAGGCUGUGUCAUCCAGGGGAGGUCUGACAAGGGCUGCAUAAACAGAAACAAAAGUGAUUUAACUCCUAAAUAACAGUGAAUUGAGCAGUUAGACUGCAAUAUCUAUACACCAAAACCACUUAAUUACGCUGAAGGCGUGCUUAGAAUAUGCCCUUAAACUUAUUUAAAUGGACACUCCCGAGCCCUAAUCACUUUAGCUGGCUGCGAAGAGUGUGUCCUCUAUUUUCAUUUUACAAAAAGGACAGAUUUCAAUAAAAAAUGUACACUUUUAUAAAUUAACCUGGUUACACCCCCCCGUUCCCCUUCCCCCAGCUUUCAAAUAGGUAAAUGGUCCUGUUACAUCCUGGUUUGGUUAGCUCCGUGGAGCUGAACUCAAGAGGCAGCAAUUCCCCAGAGCACUUGCCUUGCAAAAACACCUCAUUGAGCUGCAUGGGGAAGUCUGUGAUUGGACAGUCACAGUAAGUCUAGGCAGUGCUAGAAGGGAAGGGCUUACAAAGGCUGCAGGCAAGAGAUCUUUUGCAAGUUGUUUUUAGAUAUAACCCUAGUUAAAAAGUGCGUAAUAUCCUGCAGGCACUCGGCCUUCCAGCGCUAACAACACAGCAGUUGACCCAUCCAACAUGGACUGUAGCGGAGAUUACCCCCUUCGUGCCUAGAAGAGAGGCUCAGAAAACCUCUGCCCUACAAACCUGAAGCAGCAGCAGAGCAGGGCCCACACGCCCUUAACCUGUUGCGCCUGACAAGGGACAUACCUGAUCCGUUCCACGUUUGUUCUUGGUUAUUCCCAAUACUGAUGCUGUUGGUUAUUGUUUUUUAUUUCUGUUUUUAUUCUCCCUUUUCUCUCCACCAAAUGCUGCUUCUUAACACUAUGCUCUUCCCAAACCCGCACAAUACUGGCUCCGUAAGCUUUCAUAAUAAUAAUACGCAUUGGGCCACUUUCACCCCCCCCUCUCCUAACAACCAGAGUGCGUUACACAGCUCGAAAUAUACCGCACACUACCUGCUGCACUCUUAGCUAGCAACUUAGUUGACCACACCCAGCUAAGACACACAUACCUACCCAAGCUCACCUAACUAAGGUCCCACGCUCAACACUAGCACAUUCAGAGGUGCCUUAAUACCUACUACAAGUUAUACCUUGACACAAAGCAUGCAGGCACCUAACGCUACACAAUGCCUUUAAUACACAUUAUUUAAAAAAUAAAAACGAGGCCGACAAGUUUCGGAGAUGUUGUAUGGUAAACUGUGAUACCCCAUCCUGUAUGACUUUUAUUGUCUCCCUUUCUUUAUUCUGUACCCGUAAAGUCUAUGCCUCAAUAAAAG